rnacentral:rRNA from 1 species
GACGAACGCUGGCGGCGUGCUUAACACAUGCAAGUCGAACGGAAAGGCCCUGCUUUUGUCGGGUGCUCGAGUGGCGAACGUGUGAGUAACACGUGAGUAUCCUUCCCUUUACUUUGUGAUAACUUCAGGAAACUGGUGCUAAUACCUGCUAGGAGCUCCUGCUGCAUGGUGGGGUUUGGAAAUUUUAGGCGGUUGGGGAUGGACUCCCGGCUUAUCAGCUUGUUGGUGGGGUAGUUGCUUACCAAGGCUUUGACGGCUAGCCGGCAUGAGAGGGUGGACGGCGACAAUGGGACUGAGAGACGGAGCAGAGUGGAACGGGAGGCAGCAGGGGGGAGUAUUGCACAGUGAGGGGAAGUCUGAUGAAGAGACGCUGGGUGCGGGAUGAAGGUCUUGGGGUUGUAAACCGCAGUAGGCUGAGACGAAGCGUGAGUGACGGUAAUGGGAGAAGAAGCACCGGCUAACUACGUG